CAGAUGUUUGAUGGGUUCCUGAAGAUGCGUCGACGUGUUAUCAUCCACGCAAACUUCCCCAACCCAACCAGUGUACCACAAGACAACAUGCAUUCAGGAGGACGGGAGGAGGGAGCGAGCGGCUGCAUGCACUAUUGAACGGGGCAGCAUUACAUUCUUCCCACAGUUGUAUGACUACACUGAAGCAAGCCCAGAAUAAAGUGUUGAGUGACCAUGAUGAAUCAGCACUACUAACGCCAAAGAAGUGAGGGAAGUGUUUGGAGUGAGCGUGCAAGACCUACAACAGACACCACACUACUACUGCCGCUGUAGCCAAAGGAACAAGAGGAGGCAGAGGAGGAUGAAGAAGUGGAACAAGAGAGUGAUUCAUGGAGAUGUACCAAUGAAGUUCUGCAGAGACGACCAACUCGUCAGGAAGUCAACUGAUCACGCAGGGACGCCAAAGAACGCC